UUGGAGGGCAAGUCUGGUGCCAGCAGCCGCGGUAAUUCCAGCUCCAAUAGCGUAUAUUAAAGUUGUUGCAGUUAAAAAGCUCGUAGUUGAAUUUCGGGGUCAGUAGGUCGGUCGUGCCACUGGUAUGAACUGGUUUUACUGAUUCCUCCCUCUUGAAGAACUGUAAUGCCAUUAAUUUGGUGUUGCAGGGAAUCAGGACUGUUACUUUGAAAAAAUUAGAGUGUUUAAAGCUGGCUUUAGCUUGAAUACAUUAGCAUGGAAUAAUGAAAUAGGACGUUUGAUCCUAUUUUGUUGGUUUCUAGGAUUGACGUAAUGAUUAAUAGGGAUAGUUGGGGGCAUUAGUAUUCAAUUGUCAGAGGUGAAAUUCUUGGAUUUAUUGAAGACUAACUACUGCGAAAGCAUUUGCCAAGGAUGUUUUCAUUAAUCAAGAACGAAAGUUAGGGGAUCGAAGACGAUCAGAUACCGUCGUAGUCUUAACCAUAAACUAUGCCGACCAGGGAUCGGAUGAUGUUAAUUUUUUAAUGACUCAUUCGGCGCCUUACGGGAAAC
rnacentral:rRNA from 1 species